rnacentral:tRNA from 1 species
GAGGGUAUAGCUCAGUGGUAGAGUGCAUGCUUAGCGUGCACGAGGUCCUGGGUUCCAUCCCAGUGCCUCUA